rnacentral:rRNA from 1 species
GUGCCAGCAGCUGGGGUAAUACGGAGGGUGCAAGCGUUAAUCGGAAUUACUGGGCGUAAAGCGCACGCAGGCGGUCUGUUAAGUCAGAUGUGAAAUCCCCGGGCUCAACCUGGGAACUGCAUCUGAUACUGGCAGGCUUGAGUCUCGUAGAGGGGGUAGAAUUCCAGGUGUAGCGGUGAAAUGCGUAGAGAUCUGGAGGAAUACCGGUGGCGAAGGCGGCCCCUGGACGAAGACUGACGCUCAGGUGCGAAAGCGUGGGAGCAAACGAGGAUUAGAUACCCGUGGUAGUCCACGCCGUAAACGAUGUCGACUUGGAGGUUGUGCCCUUGAGGCGUGGCUUCCGGAGC